rnacentral:piRNA from 1 species
UAAAAGCUACUUGGCCUCGUUAAAAUGC